rnacentral:misc_RNA from 1 species
GAAAUGCGAUAAGUAAUGUGAAUUGCAGAAUUCAGUGAAUCAUCGAAUCUUUGAACGCACCUUGCGCUCCUUGGUAUUCCUUGGAGCAUGCCUGUUUGAGUAUCAUGAAAUCUUCAAAGUAAAUCUUUUGUUAACUCAAUUGGUUUCUACUUUGGUAUUGGAGGUCUUUGCAGCUUCACACCGCUCCUCUUUGUUCAUUAGCUGGAUCUCAGUGUUAUGCUUGGUUCCACUCGGCGUGAUAAGUUAUCUAUCGCUGAGGACACUGUAAAAGGUGGCCAAGGUAAAUGCAGAUGAACCGCUUCUAAUAGUCCAUUGACUUGGACAAUACUUUUAUGAUCUGAUCUCAAAUCAGGUAGGACUACCCGCUGAACUUAAGC